rnacentral:lncRNA from 1 species
GAAAAGAAAUGAAAGAAACCAAAGAUGCAGUAGGAAUUUUCCUUUAUCUUCCUUCUAGCAUAUGUUUCUUCCUGCAUCUAUAUGCUACAUAGGUCAUGCUGCUACUAUUUAUGUGAGACCCUCAGGUAGUCCUAUAUAUAAGAUAUAAUAGGGGCAUUUUGAGUGGUGGCAUGGCCCAAGAUGUUAAGAGAGUUAAGCGUGUUAGGACGGGAGGGGAGUAGUCCUAUG